UCUAAAUGUGCCAUGCCAGCAUUCUUGUCAGGCCUGUUUCAUACAGUAUAAAGCAUGCAAUGGGUUACUGUCGAGUCAUGUCCCUGCAGCAUCAGUCUGUCAGCUUGUUGCCAGGACAAUGCCGAGGGGGCAGAGCCUGUGUGAAGGUCUGAGGAGAAAGAUGAUGACAACACACAAAGGAAGGCAGAUUACAUAAUAAUAAACAAAACAUGCCUUGCGGAUAAGCCAGUCAUCAGGAUGAUGUAUCCUAGCAACAGUGACAUCCCGCCCAUUUGGCAUUAGAAUGGCCCAAAUAACAUUUUUGGAUGAAGAUGGAGAGACUGAGACUGAAGGCAGAGGACAGGACGGAGGAGAUGGGAGGCCCUAAGACAGAUCAGAACGAUGUGACACAUUUUCUUGAGCUUCCAGUCCUAGUGGGAGUGCUGGUGUUAGGGCCCUUCAUGUACAGUACACCAGAGGCCCUCAACUCCAUCACUGGAUGGACAUGGUCAACACUCCACAGGAGGCUGUGAAGUUGUGGCACAGAUUGGGCAGAUACAUUUAAGAAACCAAACAUGAACAGAUCCACAAACACACAUGUGCAUGUACAUACACACAGAUUCAGAAAUAGAAUAA